rnacentral:misc_RNA from 1 species
AAGACUAUAGACCUGCGGAGUACCUGCGGAGGGAUCAUUACAGAGUUUACAACUCCCAAACCCACUGUGAACCUUACAGCGUCGUUGCCUCGGCGGACCGCCCCCGGCGCGGCCCCCCUCGGGGGGGCGCCCGGGACCACGGCGCCCGCCGGAGGACCCAAACUCUUGUAUUUGCAGGAUGCAUUGCUCUGAGUGAAAACAAGCAAAUGAAUCAAAACUUUUAACAAUGGAUCUCUAGAU